rnacentral:rRNA from 1 species
AUUGAACGCUGGCGGCAGGCCUAACACAUGCAAGUCGAACGGUAACAGGAAGCAGCUUGCUGCUUCGCUGACGAGUGGCGGACGGGUGAGUAAUGUCUGGGAAGCUGCCUGAUGGAGGGGGAUAACUACUGGAAACGGUAGCUAAUACCGCAUAAUGUCGCAAGACCAAAGAGGGGGACCUUCGGGCCUCUUGCCAUCGUAUGUGCCCAGAUGGGAUUGGCUUGUUGGUGGGGUAACGGCUCACCAAGGCGACGAUCCCUAGCUGGUCUGAGAGGAUGACCAGCCACCAUGGAACUGAGACACGGUCCAGACUCCUACGGGAGGCAGCAGUGGGGAAUAUUGCACAAUGGGCGCAAGCCUGAUGCAGCCAUGCCGCGUGUAUGAAGAAGGCCUUCGGGUUGUAAAGUACUUUCAGCGGGGAGGAAGGGAGUAAAGUUAAUACCAUUGCUCAUUGACGUUACCCGCAGAAGAAGCACCGGCUAACUCCGUG